CGGCGCUUUUGCAAAGAAUACACCAUGUGUCACUACUUUUGCUACUUGAAAUACAUAUCUCAUUAUUAGAUAUGACAUAGAACAGUUGCUACCAGUGUUUAUCGAUAAUGUUUUUGCAGUUCGCAGAUUGGUUGUCUCAAUUUCUAUAGAAGGAUUCAAUCCACAUAUUCCACCAAUAGGAUUCAUAAUACCAUAUUAAUCGCAACCAAUCGGAAUAGCGCUCCCAACAGCAUAUCCGAUUAGAAAUGUAGAGAAAUGUAUAUAGUUGGACCAAUCAUAGAUGAGAAGAAGUGAAUCAAACUCGACUGUACUUGAUUUGACUGGAUUUGACUCGACUGAACGAUCGUUUAUUCUAUUUCUUUUUUCAUAUUUUGUCAUCAAUAAUGAUUCAAAAGUCGCUACUUCAUCGCGUGUAGUCGAGUCGAGUUCGGACUAGUUGCAUCCUUGAGAUCACAUAAAGUAUGCAUCAGCGAUGAAUUCAAGCAUUUGCUGUACGUGUUCUGCGACAGCAAUC